rnacentral:rRNA from 1 species
CAAGUCGAGCGCUUCACUUCGGUGAGGAGCGGCGGACGGGUUAGUAACGCGUGGGAACAUACCCUUUUCUAAGGAAUAGCCACUGGAAACGGUGAGUAAUACCUUAUACGCCCUUUGGGGGAAAGAUUUAUCGGUGAAGGAUUGGCCCGCGUUAGAUUAGUUAGUUGGUGGGGUAACGGCCUACCAAGACGACGAUCUAUAGCUGGUUUGAGAGGAUGAUCAGCAACACUGGGACUGAGACACGGCCCAG